GAUAAACGCUGGCGGUGUACAUAAGACAUGCAAGUCGAACGGGAGAAGACUGGAAGAUUUAUCUACUAGCUCGGACACCGUGGCGGACGGUGAGUAACACGUAAGCAACCUGCCUAUAAGAGGGGAAUAACAGUGAGAAAUUACUGAUAAUACCGCAUAAGCUGGAGGUAUCGCAUGAUACAUUCAGAAAAGAUUUAUCGCUUAUAGAUGGGCUUGCGUCUGAUUAGCUAGUUGGUGAGAUAAUAGCUCACCAAGGCGACGAUCAGUAGCCGGAUUGAGAGGUUGAACGGCCACAUUGGGACUGAGACACGGCCCAG
rnacentral:rRNA from 1 species